rnacentral:rRNA from 1 species
CCUANGGGGGGCAGCAGUGGGGAAUUUUGGACAAUGGGCGCAAGCCUGAUCCAGCCAUGCCGCGUGCGGGAAGAAGGCCUUCGGGUUGUAAACCGCUUUUGUCAGGGAAGAAACAGUCCGAUCUAAUACAUUGGGCUAAUGACGGUACCUGAAGAAUAAGCACCGGCUAACUACGUGCCAGCAGCCGCGGUAAUACGUAGGGUGCAAGCGUUAAUCGGAAUUACUGGGCGUAAAGCGUGCGCAGGCGGUUAUGCAAGACAGAUGUGAAAUCCCCGGGCUCAACCUGGGAACUGCAUUUGUGACUGCAUGGCUAGAGUGCGGCAGAGGGGGAUGGAAUUCCGCGUGUAGCAGUGAAAUGCGUAGAUAUGCGGAGGAACACCGAUGGCGAAGGCAAUCCCCUGGGCCUGCACUGACGCUCAUGCACGAAAGCGUGGGGAGCAAACAGGAUUAGAUACCCUGNUANUC